AGAGGAAUUCACAAGGUUGCACUGCUUGUUAUUGACUAUCCACAAUGAGAGGUGGUCUAUCCUUCAUCGCCAUCUUCCUGUGUCUCUUGUUUGUCGUCAGUGACAUUGAACCUGUCCAGAUGAUUGACAUUGAGUCACCUGCCAACAUGUGGCAGAGAGAGAUUGGUCACGUCUUCCUGGACACCAAUGAAAAAGUAGCGAAAUAUUCCUCGAAGGCAAAGGAUAAAAGUAAAGACAACGACAAAGACGAAAAAUAAAUAACAACGCAUGACAAGCUACUCUUGUUAACAAAUGAUCAAGAAAUGCAAUAAAAUUAUGGAU